UACGGAGGGAGCUAGCGUUAUUCGGAAUUACUGGGCGUAAAGCGCACGUAGGCGGCUUUGUAAGUUAGAGGUGAAAGCCUGGAGCUCAACUCCAGAAUUGCCUUUAAGACUGCAUCGCUUGAAUCCAGGAGAGGUGAGUGGAAUUCCGAGUGUAGAGGUGAAAUUCGUAGAUAUCAGGAGGAACACCAGUGGCGAAGGCGGCUUCCUGGACACCAACUGACGCUGAGACGCGAAAGCGUGGG
rnacentral:rRNA from 1 species